rnacentral:tRNA from 1 species
AAGGAAUUAAGUUAACAAAACUAGUAGUCUUCAAAACUAUCAAUAAGAAAACAUCUUAUUCU